rnacentral:rRNA from 1 species
UGCCGGUGACAAACCGGAGGAAGGUGGGGAUGACGUCAAAUCAUCAUGCCCCUUAUGAUUUGGGCUACACACGUGCUACAAUGGACAAUACAAAGGGCAGCGAAACCGCGAGGUCAAGCAAAUCCCAUAAAGUUGUUCUCAGUUCGGAUUGUAGUCUGCAACUCGACUACAUGAAGCUGGAAUCGCUAGUAAUCGUAGAUCAGCAUGCUACGGUGAAUACGUUCCCGGGUCUUGUACACACCGCCCGUCACACCACGAGAGUUUGUAACACCCGAAGCCGGUGGAGUAACCAUUUGGAGCUAGCCGUCGAAGGUGGGACAAAUGAUUGGGGUGAAGUCGUAACAAGGUAGCCGUAUCGGAAGGUGCGGCUGGAUCACCUCCUUUCUAAGGA